GCGCAUGUGGUGAAACUGGUAGACACGCUGUCUUCAGGAGGCAGUGCUCUAGGGCGUGGAGGUUCGAAUCCUCUCAUGCGCAC
rnacentral:tRNA from 1 species